rnacentral:ncRNA from 1 species
UAAAAAACGAUGAUAAGGAGCAGUAGUGGCAUAAACUCCCGAUUUAGAGAGUUGACGGAAGGUGCAAGUCAACCGGGUCUGCCAUGAACUCGCCUUAGAGUUGCAGACGUGAAAGAUGAGUAGCGUUUGCCGUCCUUCCACGUUAAGGAAUCGAGCUGAGUGCCUUGUGCACUAAUGUGGGUGGUACCGCGGGAGCGAAAGCAUCUCUCGUCCCAAAC